rnacentral:lncRNA from 1 species
GUAAAUGGACUUGAUGCAUGAAGCUCUGGAAAUAAAAAAUAUAGUAUUCGUUUCGAACAAUCAGGACCUCUCACAUCGAGUUAAAUGUAUUUUGAGAUUCACAUUGUAUUCUCUCUUUGAGAGUUAAAUGAGAUGCAGAUUUCCUGCAGUAGUUUUUCACAAAGUUUUCACAGUUUUAAAUCUGGACCGUUGAUUAUAAAUCGGACGGUCCAGAUCAACGCAGUUAAAAAAUCACAUGAAACAAUCUCUACCACAGAUUUUUGAUCGGAUGACUGUAAUGCAAAACUGCGUGGAAACUGUGUCAAAAUAAACUAAUGUACACUUGUUAGUUGCAGGUCAUAAUAGUAUCUGAAUAAACCUCAAAAGCAAAUGAGUUUAGUACCCAAGCUUCAUUAGACAAGCAUUGUUGGAACAACAUGGGAAAUCAUAAGUUAAAGCUAAGUAAGCAUCAUUCAAGUGAGGUAUGACUGGUUCAUCUCUAUUCAUUAGUCAAAACUCAAUACUCUAUUCAAUUCUUGUUGAAUAAAGUGCAAGUUAGAAAAAUUUCAUAUAUGAGAUGAAUCUUAAUUCUAUGUGUGAUUCAAAAUCUUAACCUCUGCAUUUUGUGGCUAGGCCUAGGCAUAGUAAAAAUAAUUUAUUCUGAAUAAUGUGUUUGAACUUCAUUUAAACACAUGUCCCACUAAAAGUGUUGCAUAUCUGAAUAAGCUUCUAACUUGGGUAUUAAUUGUUGGAUAUUAACUUAGAGGUAUUAAGAGAAGAAGGAAGACCUUGCAGGUGCUUCCAUGGCUAUGGUUACUGAAGAAGAAAAAGAUCAGAAUUUUACAUGUUCAAGUUCUAGAGUUGGAGCAUGUAAUUUAUACAUUUCAGUUCGAGAACUCGAACAACGCUCUAUACAUAUCUAUGAAUCUCACAUUAUUAUUAUUUUGAAAUUUGCUAUCUGGCCUUAAGACCGACUAAUCCAAGAGUAUCAAUCACACUGCCCACUUGCGGGGGAUCCAUUUAAAACCAGAGUUUGUUUUUUUGCUCUGUAUGAACUUAAUCAGGGGGAAUCAAACCUGAGACCUUGAGAGGAGUAUACUCCAAGGACCCAAGCCAACACCACUAGACCAACCCCAAAUGGAUUUAUUAUUAUUAUUAUUAUUAUUAUUAUUAUUAUUAUUGACUUUUGACCAUAUUUGAAAUAAAUUAGUUUGAUUGUUAGGAUUAGGUUUUAGUUUGUUAACUUCCUAUUGGCUUAUGAAAUUUUAAUAUGUGGAGUUAGUACUGAUCUCAAAAUAUGGACGAAGAAUGCC